AUGGCCAAAGACUUGCACCCAAAGCUUCUAGCCGGGAUGUUUUUCUUCUUCGCUCUUGGAGCAACUGGUGGAAUAACAGCUCUACUCACUUCAGAUAAACCCAUCUUUGAGAGUCCUCAUGCUGUUACAGGUUUAACUGGCCUUGCUCUCUUGACCUUACAAGCCACAUUACCUGCAUUAUUUGAGCCCCAUGUCUGGCAAGGGGAUCAGCCCCUGCGUUGGCCUCUCUAUAGCAGUGCUGCACCUGGGUGUGGGGGAUUUUACUGGUACAAGCCAGAUUGCAUUGGAGAUGCCCAAAUGGUUCUCUUCUAUACAGCGUUAGCAUUCUUAGCUAUUGGGAUAUCUGGUCAUAUCACAUCCUUGGACGCUUUCCUGAAACAACGAGAUUCAAAACAACCAAUGCCAUGGCAAGCAGCAGGUGGCUUUAUUGUGAUUCUUCUUGCAAUUGUUGGAUUUAUUGCAAUUCAAUUUAUAAAGCCAUGGUCUGUCUGAUUUGGAAUGCCAGCAAUAUGUACUGUAGUGGCAACUUUUUUAUUCACAACUGGCUCAUGUUCAUACAAACGUCCUGGACCGCAUCCGCAGGGGAGCCCUCUUACAACUAUAUUUAGAGUUUUUGUAGCCUACCAGAUGAUAAUCCGCUGCCUCAAACGCAUAGUCUCAGAGUUUUUAGAAAGUAUAAUGACUUCACCAAUGUGCCCUGGCAAGGCCGCAAUUGUAGUCCAAACCCAAAAUCAGGAGCAGAAAGAACAAAAUAGAUGGAGACAUUGCAGCUACGAAGAGAUGGAGGAUACAAAAAACUUUAUACGCAUGAUACCCAUGUGGAUGACCUUCAUUAUGUGUGGGGUUGUGAUUUCCAUAGGAAGUACUUAUUUUUUAGAGCAAGCAAAUAAUAUGAAUCGCAAACUUGGAAAAUUGAAGGUCCCUCUUCCCAUAUUUAAAUUUUUCUAUGAACUUGUAAAAGACCAUUUCAAAAGACUGUAUGUUGAAGUAACUAAAAAAGUAAUUCCAGAAAGGUAUGUACCCACUUUUGGAAUGAUAGUAGCAAUGCUGUUUUCUAUACUAUGUUGUAUCACAGCUGCAGAAGUGAAAACCAGGAGGCUUGAUGUGAUUAGAAGGCACAGGUUUCUUAUUUUAAUAAAUCAAUCAAAUAUUAAAUAAA